rnacentral:lncRNA from 1 species
CGGUGAGCACCAAUCCUGGGUGGCAGGAGAAGACAGGAGUAGACAAUAGAGAUGCCGAUUUCUAAGGAAUGAAGAAUCUGAUGGACUGCUUUACGUCAGGUUAGGUGGGCCUCUCUAAUUUCCUAAAAUCUGGAUUCUCAAUGAUAGAAGGAUAGGCCCAUGGUAGGCAUCUAAGCAUACUUCAAAAAUUGAUUUUAAUUGCGUAUGUUAUUUAGAGAGGAAGAUGAUAACGAGGGUGCACGCAUGUUUCAAAAGUGGAAACUAAAAAGAUGAAGGCGAGUUUCAGCAUAAAGAGAAAGAGCAUGGCCAGGAGCAAGGAUUAACAGAGAGGAAGGGGCUAUGCGAGCAGGUCCGAGGGUGUACUCUUUCUGGAUCACAUGCUGCUUCCCUAAAGCUCUAUUGCUUGGCAACAUGGUUUCUAUACUCAGUCAAUGCUGAUGAUAAUGAUGAUGAUGAUAAUGAUCUUCUUGAUGAUGAUGGUCUGCCAGACACUGCCCAGAACUAAACAUUAUUUCAACUAAUACUCCAUACCCCUAUCAGGUAUUUAGUGUUAACAUUCCUACACUACGUAUGAGGAAACUAGGGUUUAGAAAGUUUAAGAUUCUGCCACAAGUGAAACCUGGGCAGUGAUGGAUACAGG